GAUGAACGCUGGCGGCGUGCCUAAUACAUGCAAGUCGAGCGAACAGACGAGGAGCUUGCUCCUCUGACGUUAGCGGCGGACGGGUGAGUAACACGUGGAUAACCUACCUAUAAGACUGGGAUAACUUCGGGAAACCGGAGCUAAUACCGGAUAAUAUAUUGAACCGCAUGGUUCAAUAGUGAAAGACGGUUUUGCUGUCACUUAUAGAUGGAUCCACGCCGCAUUAGCUAGUUGGUAAGGUAACGGCUUACCAAGGCAACGAUGCGUAGCCGACCUGAGAGGGUGAUCGGCCACACUGGAACUGAGACACGGUCCAGACUCCUACGGGAGGCAGCAGUAGGGAAUCUUCCGCAAUGGGCGAAAGCCUGACGGAGCAACGCCGCGUGAGUGAUGAAGGUCUUCGGAUCGUAAAACUCUGUUAUUAGGGAAGAACAAAUGUGUAAGUAACUAUGCACGUCUUGACGGUACCUAAUCAGAAAGCCACGGCUAACUACGUG
rnacentral:rRNA from 1 species